rnacentral:rRNA from 1 species
GAUGAACGCUGGCGGCGUGCCUAAUACAUGCAAGUCGAGCGAACUGAUUAGAAGCUUGCUUCUAUGACGUUAGCGGCGGACGGGUGAGUAACACGUGGGCAACCUGCCUGUAAGACUGGGAUAACUUCGGGAAACCGAAGCUAAUACCGGAUAGGAUCUUCUCCUUCAUGGGAGAUGAUUGAAAGAUGGUUUCGGCUAUCACUUACAGAUGGGCCCGCGGUGCAUUAGCUAGUUGGUGAGGUAACGGCUCACCAAGGCAACGAUGCAUAGCCGACCUGAGAGGGUGAUCGGCCACGCUGGGACUGAGACACGGCCCAGACUCCGCCGGGAGGCAGCAGUAGGGAAGCUGCCGCAAUGGACGAAAGUCUGACGGAGCAACGCCGCGUGAGUGAUGAAGGCUUUCGGGUCGUAAAACUCUGUUGUUAGGGAAGAACAAGUACAAGAGUAACUGCUUGUACCUUGACGGUACCUAACCAGAAAGCCACGGCUAACUACGUGCCAGCCGCCGCAGUAAUAC